UACGUAGGGUGCGAGCGUUGUCCGGAAUUACUGGGCGUAAAGAGCUCGUAGGUGGUUUGUCGCGUUGUUCGUGAAAACUCACAGCUUAACUGUGGGCGUGCGGGCGAUACGGGCAGACUGGAGUACUGCAGGGGAGACUUGAAUUCCUGGUGUAGCGGUGGAAUGCGCAGAUAUCAGGAGGAACACCGGUGGCGAAGGCGGGUCUCUGGGCAGUAACUGACGCUGAGGAGCGAAAGCGUGGGGAGCGAACAGG
rnacentral:rRNA from 1 species